GCGGCUGGAAGAGCACCGCACG
rnacentral:snRNA from 1 species